UUUCUUCUUUCUUCGUCUUUGUCCCUUUCUUUUUUUUCCUUCUCCUUCUCUUCUUUUUGUUUGAGUUUCUUUGCGUGAUGAACACAGAGAGGGA
rnacentral:ribozyme from 1 species